UACAACUACUUUAAAACAUGCAAGCAUGCACCCAACUUGCUUGUAUCUCUCUCAAGCGACUCGCACCUCCACGGUCUUCGGCUGCUUCGGCUCCGGCGGCGGUUUCUUUUCCACGGUCACAGUCAAGACCCCGUCCUGGUACGUAGCUGAUAUCUUCUCUAUAUCUGCAUUCUCUGGCAACACAAACUUCUUCAAAUACUUGCCAAGCCUUCUCUCCAUUUUCAUAUAUCUCACUCCUUGCUCCUUCUCUCUUUCUCUCUUCCUCUCUCCACUCACCACCAGAAUAUUCCCAUCCUCAACGUGCACCUUUACUUGGUCCGCCUUCAGCCCCGGCAUGUCUAUCACAAAAAUGAAUG
rnacentral:lncRNA from 1 species